GUUAUACAAGGACUAAUACUUUUCCCGUAAAGAAGUCAAACGAGACACAAGGUAAACCAGCUUGAGUUCUGGAGGUGGUCCAUGAAGCAUCUCUCGAACACAGGGCACCACAUGCGCUUCAGUAAAGAGAAGCGUCUCCAGCAUAGCAGGCACGGUCGCAGACAGGCAUCUUCUCCCGUGUUCCCACCAGCCAGCACAAUGCCAAGAAAAGAGAGGCUGAAAAAAGAACGAAUGAAAGAGCUACAGCAGGCAGCACACUCACGUGUAGAGAAUGAUACAAAUAAAAGUAAAAUUUCAUUCAACAUGUGCGUGUAACUUUUUUAUAAUAAGGUGUUCCGCGUGCGCUAAAAAGUGCCCUUCCCUUCCCCCCUGAGCACCUGCCCCCCAAAAUGUCUGUGCACGCCACUGGUUACAUCUAUCUGAUAUAUCUGAUAUAUCUAUACAUAUAGUUGUUCCACCAUGUACAAUAUCCAUAAUUCUUGUCAUCAUGUUACCCGUGUCUUCAACUGACCUCUCUAGACCAAACACAUAACAUGAAUACAGUGAUAUCCUGUAUAUGCCGUUCCCUGAAUAAAACCCGAUAUAUUUUAUGUGGAGAUUGAUAAUAAAUAAAACUCCAGAUGAAA